AAACAAUUAGCACCCCUCCUUAUGUCGCACCAAACCUUAUGGUAAUUCUCUUUAGACCUUGUUGCACAAAAAAUGUCUUAAAUCACUGGUGAUAAGGUCCCUUCCCAUCUUAUACUUGAUGCCACAAUCCGAUUAAGAGACCCAAUUAAUUUAGGACUUUGGUUCAAAUCUAAUUUGAACCAGAUUGGAUCUCAUCCAAUCACCUAAGAAAUCAAAAGGGGAAAGC
rnacentral:lncRNA from 1 species